GACGAACGCUGGCGGCGUGCUUAACACACGCAAGUCGAACGGUAAGGCCCUUCGGGGUACACGAGUGGCGAACGGGUGAGUAACACGUGGGUGAUCUGCCAUGCACUUCGGGAUAAGCCUGGGAAACUGGGUCUAAUACCGGAUAGGACCCUGGGAUGCAUGUCCUGGGGUGGAAAGCUUUUGCGGUGUGGGAUGGGCCCGCGGCCUAUCAGCUUGUUGGUGGGGUGACGGCCUACCAAGGCGACGUGGGGUAGCCGGCCUGGGAGGGUGACCGGCCACACUGGGACUGAGAUACGGCCCAGACUCCUACGGGAGGCAGCAGUGGGGAAUAUUGCACAAUGGGCGCAAGCCUGAUGCAGCGACGCCGCGUGAGGGAUGACGGCCUUCGGGUUGUAAACCUCUUUCAGCACCGACGAAGCGCAAGUGACGGUAGGUGCAGAAGAAGGACCGGCCAACUACGUGCCAGCCGCCGCAGUAA
rnacentral:rRNA from 1 species